GGGGCAGCAUGGUCUUAGCUUGCUAAGGCCGAUGGCGACCGGCGCACGGGUGAGUAACACGUAUCCAACCUGCCGUCUACUCUUGGACAGCCUUCUGAAAGGAAGAUUAAUACAAGAUGGCAUCAUGAGUCCGCAUGUUCACAUGAUUAAAGGUAUUCCGGUAGACGAUGGGGAUGCGUUCCAUUAGAUAGUAGGCGGGGUAACGGCCCACCUAGUCUUCGAUGGAUAGGGGUUCUGAGAGGAAGGUCCCCCACAUUGGAACUGAGACACGGUCCAAACUCCUACGGGAGGCAGCAGUGAGGAAUAUUGGUCAAUGGGCGAGAGCCUGAACCAGCCAAGUAGCGUGAAGGAUGACUGCCCUAUGGGUUGUAAACUUCUUUUAUAAAGGAAUAAAGUCGGGUAUGGAUACCCGUUUGCAUGUACUUUAUGAAUAAGGAUCGGCUAACUCCGUGCCAGCAGCCGCGGUAAUACGGAGGAUCCGAGCGUUAUCCGGAUUUAUUGGGUUUAAAGGGAGCGUAGAUGGAUGUUUAAGUCAGUUGUGAAAGUUUGCGGCUCAACCGUAAAAUUGCAGUUGAUACUGGAUAUCUUGAGUGCAGUUGAGGCAGGCGGAAUUCGUGGUGUAGCGGUGAAAUGCUUAGAUAUCACGAAGAACUCCGAUUGCGAAGGCAGCCUGCUAAGCUG
rnacentral:rRNA from 1 species